ensembl:lncRNA
AAAGGGAUUAACAAAAUGAAUGUAUUCCAUAAAUAAAGUAAACAUUCACAACAAUAAUCAGAUGAGGCAUGAAGGUCAGUAAAUUAGGUGUCAACUGCCAAAGCCACAAUGAAACAACCAAAGGUAAGCCAAAGGUAAACCAAAGGUAAGCAUCUCUUGCUGAAUGGGGAAGCAGUGGCUCAUGCUACUGCUGAGCUUUCACAGGUGUGCCCCAUCAGCACUGACGACUCUCCCAGCUCCUCCCACCUCUACUACUCCGCACACCAAUCUCCUGCAGGAAUUAAGCACAGCAAAACCCAGUAGACAGAGCCGUCACAGGAUGAAGUGGAGGUGGUUUUGUGUGUGUGUGUCUUUGAUCCCCUCCAUCAUGGCUACAUGGUCUAAUCACCACCAGCAGCUGUCAGUGUGUCAGCAGCACACUGCCCUCUCACUAUAGCCACCAGUUUAACCAUGUGCUAUGGAUAUGUGUGUGCAUCCGUGCAUGUGUGUGUGAACAUCCCCAUUCUGUGUUGAACCCGAUGAACUGCAGUGUUUGAAAGCUAAUUUGUGUCAAAAUGACAUCAUCAAGACCACUUUGCACCCUACUAUUCUCUUCUCCUCUCCUUUCUCAACCCACCCCCUGCUCUCCUCCCCUCUCACUCCCCUUUCGUGGUGCCGUAGAGGGGGAGCUGGUUGCAUCAUAAGCUGCGGUGGCUGUGGCUACCGUUAAAGCCCAGGAUUUACAGCAGGCCCUUCUGCUGUUGCAGGGACAACGCAGGCUCUAAUCCACCGCACAUCACUGCUACACUGCUACAUACUCCACUACACUCACGCACUGCCGAUCCCUAGCCCUAUACUCCAGCCCCAUCUCAAGCCCCAGCCAAAACCAUCCCUACGACUGGAAAAGUACAUGAAUCAAUCAAAUUGAUUGACUGAUUCGUUGACUGAGGCAAAUCUCAGUAGGAUGCACUUCUCAUUCCAGUGAGGUAAAUGGUUCAUGGAGGUGUGUAUGGAUCUCUGUUACAGCCCCUAUUGCUCUUCCCAGCCUCCAUGGUGAUGAGUGUUCUGAGACUGUACAGGUGCAGGAGGGGACAGUCUAUUUAGCCCUCUCUCUGCUCCACCCACAGUCACUUACACACCUGUCACACACACCCCUCCUCUCUCUGCCUCAUCCAAUCAACACUCAAUUAGUCACGCUCACCUGACACUCCUGUCGUGUUUCAGGUUUAAAAGAACUCUGGCCAUCAAAGGCUGCAGUGUCAUUCUUGUCGUUUAACUCCAUCAACAUCUCGGCUUAAGGGGGUGGUUGCCGGGUGGAUCUGGCUGGCUGGUAAGCUCUCAGUCAGUUGUUGGCAAGUCUAGAACCACCGGAUCCAUCUAUCCCACCAGUGUGAGUUCUACCAUUGCCAAAAACCGGGGUGAGCGGGGCGACCAUAAAUACACCGGUGGAGCACAUUCUGUUGAUUAUUAUUGGUCAGUAGAAUUGCCCAGAAGUCACAAAGGAGUUAUUAAUAAUGAUCAUCCUAGGAAGCCCCUGGAACUUGACUGCUGUGGAAUGGUUUGAAUGCAUUAAGUCUGAGAGCAUCAUAAGGCUCUGUGUGAGUCAUGAGGCCUGUGUCUGAGACUACAGCUCAGGUUACAGCGUUCAGGGCCUCUGGAACAGAGUAUAGACCUCCAUAGCAACCAGAGAUAUAGGAGAGGACCAAGACCAUUGAUCUAUAGAUCAUCCUCUGCGGUCUCUCGCUCUCUUUUUCAUUCCCUCUGGAGUUACCUAUCUCUUUGUCUGUCUCUCUCACUGUCCAUAGGGAAGAUAAAGAAAAAUUGUGAUCAAGUACUCAUGAAUCUAAAGAAACAAAGUCAUUGGUCCCACCCUCAGCUUCUGUCAAAUCACUGACACUGCACAUCGAUUACAGGACCUAUCACCUACGUAUCACUAUUCCACGUUCUAUACAACCUCCGUUCAAACAAACCAAAAAGACAAGUGUUGAGUGUCUGUCUCCUCCUAUAUUGGCACUACACAUGAUUGCUCAAACCGAUAUAUACAGAAGCAAAAAUGUGCUAGUGCCAAAAUGGGAAAAGAAGACGAGUGGAGGCCAUGUCUUAAACAACAGCACCAGCCUGAAGAAAACUAAAAUAGUUGGAUGAAUAGCAAGUUGUUUGUCUCACCACAGCUGUUAGAACACAAUCAUGGUCAUAGACUUUCAUCAACACUGAAUUUUACGCAGUUGGUGUAUAGAAUGUAAAGAGGGCAGAGGGUAAGGGACAGUGUCAGCGAUGCAUGUUGGGUAAUUUGGUUAUUUCUCUACUCUGUUUAUGGCCCUAUGGUAAUUCACUGAUAGUGUGCCUUCACAGUGAAUUCUACCAGUGCCAUACACAGAACAGGAGGAGUCAUCAGCCCAGCACCAGGGCAUGCUGCAUGGGUAGCCUACUACAUCCGUGCAGGGCAGGACAAAACACAGAACAUGGCAGAGCUGUGUUUCAAUCCAGGAAGUUGUUGCCUACCUUCUGUCUUUGUUUAUUCCCAUCACAGAUCCACAGGGGCGGACUGGGAUCAGAAAUCGGUCUUGUCAGUUGAAACACUCCGGACCUUUUUUUUCUUGGCCGAGGCAACACAUACUGAGUUUUCGCCCCUGCCACACCCCCCUGGAAACUUCUCAAAACUAAGGAUUAUACAGUUUAUACUUGGUCUAACGACAUGUCUGUAGACAAAUUGAACGUGACUAUUAUCGCUGGUCAAAACUACAUUUAAUUUAUAGUCCGGUGGAAUGUCUGUAGAUUGUCAUCGUUGCACAGACAUGGAAAAAAUUAAUGUCUCUGCGACUGUCGCAAUGUCCGUUGUUGUGGUUACUGGGCUGCUACAGCAACAAGACUAAAUUCCUCUGUGGCAAGAAGGUGCAGGACAACAGGAGUUCUAAAAUUCUCAGAAAAAAUGACCUACUUUUAUUUUGGCCAUGUUCGUAAUUUCACUCUGGCUAUCUACUCCAAUUUCAGAGCACUCUAAUCUGAGUGUGCCAGAGCGCAGAAUAACUGAUUAAUUUACGAAAUGCUCAACACCCGUUGACUAUGGCCGGUGUCGCUAAACGUCAGCAAAAAAAACGUAUUUAAAUUGUUGCCAGCAGCACUGUUGCAGUCACCAACGCUCUGGAUAACAUGAAAACAGUCUAACCAGCUCUGCUAGGGCAAGUUAAAUGGUCAGAGUGAGGUGUUCUCUCAUUUGUGUCUGGAAGUAGCUAGCAAGCUAGCCAACGUUAGCCAGUUAGAUUGGGUGCUUGAAUGCCAUUGUGUGGUCAGAAAUUCUCAGAUCAACCCUUCUCCUCAGCCAGAGCGUCCAGUGUGUACUCUGAACUCUCCGAGAGUGAAUUUACAAAUGGACAAUCUGACAAUACUGAGUUUACGAAUGCCCAGAGCGCACUAUGAGCACACUCUGGCACUCCAGAGUGAAUUUACCAACACACCCUUUGUUAAACUCACAACCGUAAGCAAUUUCACCUUGUGAAUAAUGUGGUGUGUUGUGGUCGUUGGUUUAUUUUCCUGUAAUAAUUAAUAAAAAGCAGCUAAAGUUAAGAUGUUGUCAGCUGUACCCUGGCCCUAAUUUUAAUUGGCUAGCCAGCUAGCUGACAAUGAACCAAAACAUUGUUGCCUGGCUUGCUAGGUUGACAUUUAUUAAAUUCAUUUUUUAAAUUUUGGGUUUAUUGGUGUUCAAAUAGAGCAAGUACUCUAUCUGGAACACCAGAAUGCUGAUGUUAUGCACAGGUUGUCAUUUUAUGUUUAUACUUUUAUACUCAUAACGACGACAACAAGUUUGAUGUCGGAUGACAAUAGAAUGUUCAUGAUGUCACUGCGAUAACUGUUUACAGACAUGUCGAUCGACCAACUGUCAACCAGCCUUAUGUCUCUGCCUCAUAUUUCUGAACAACUGCAAUUUGAAUGAGUGUUCCAAAAAUAUAUAUGAAGGCUACAACCUUCUCUGUAACUGAUAUUGCCAUAGUAAAAGCAAGACAUUGCAUUGGGGCAAAACAAUUAGCAUUUUGAGUGGGGAUGUAAUCUUUAUAGCUAUGCUGCCAUUUUACCAGCACUGCAGUCUCCCUCCUGUUUAGCCUAUGUUUGCAAUGAUCAUAAUUAUUUAUUUUUUAAACCAUUAAAUUGCUAUUGACUACCUGUCUUGUGUGCAAGUGGCAGUGGCGUCACGGAGUGACUGAGCACUGAGCAGUAGUGAUGUGCAGUUUGUGAACCAUUCGUUCUUUUUGAACAACUCUUUUAACUGACUCGAGAGUCACGAUUCGUUUUUCCGAGUGACUCGUUCAUUUUAGUCGUUCUUUUGACCUGCUGGCCACAAAAAAAUUCUAAAGUAGGAUUAAUACGCGUCUACCAACUGUCUAUCAUGUCAGCACAGAAAAAUACAGGCAGCAGAAAAGGAAAUACCAUGUUUAGAACUGAUAGGUGAUCGCAUUCUGCGAGAAUUAAUGCAAUGAUUUGAUUAUUGAAUGUUUUUCGAUGGACACAGCUUUGUAGAAUCAAAACAUACACAGCCUGACUCUGCCCAACACUCGAUAAAAAUUGUUUUGGUGGGCUGCUGCAGUUCGUAAACAAUAUCUUGCUGAUCUCCCUCGCGGCAGUCAAGCAUUCCGCCAAGAGUCGUUCACACAAUCUAGUCCGGCUGCGGCUGCAACAAGACCUUGUUUCAAAUGUAUCGAUAAUUAAUCGUAUUUGUAUGCUUAGCAAUCACAAAUGUACAUUGUAUGAAGCACAGUUUUAUACGUUUCAGUCACAAAUGGCAGCUCCAAUAAGCCUCCUAUGGUGAAUGAGAGACUUGUGCAAUCAUGAUUCCUUCGAGCUUUUAGUUCAUCAUUCGCCGGUAGGGGUCCUGCAUGCUCUGGGCAUUACUGAAUCAAAUGAAUGGAAUGAACUUGAUUCAUUCUUUUGACUGAGUCAAAAAGAUCUGAGUCGGUAAGAACUUCCCAUUAUUACUGAACAACAGCUGAAAGGAGGUAGGCUAGUGGAUCCCGCAUAUGCAGAAAUCUACGUAUUAUUUUUAGAAACAGAAAGUCGGGUUACAGAAGAUCCAGAGCCACAGCCACUCUGUUUUUUCUUUGAGGCCCCCACACCAGCCCAUUUUGUUCCUUGAGGGGCACAAGUUAGACAGUCCAACUGGGCUAAAAAUUGACCAGCCCAUCUGGCAUUACCCAAAAUGCCAGAUGGACAGGCCGCCCGCCCCUGUGAACUUGGAUAGGUCAGAGAAAUAUGAUAGAAACUCAAGUCAAAUUAUUGCUUACAUAUUCUACCUUGUUUCUGAUCCACAAAAGGGGAAUGGACAGGGCAGAAAGGCAGAGCUUGAAUGAAAUGCAUGACUAAAACACCAGACCUUACUCCACACUACACAGAGAAUAAUUAUUCUAUAUGUGUUCUAACAGAAUGUGUUCCAACAUGUCGUUCAACACAGCAUUAGCCAUGUCUUCAAUACUAACACUUAAAAUCUUAAAAUCUGCAACAAGUUUCUUAUAUCCAUGUCCUCAUGGGCUGCGUUGCACAUGCCUUCUGUCCAUCGGGUUAAAACAAACAGGUUACAACAAACAUCCCUUAUCGGGACAUGGAGAAAGGGGCAGACAUUCAUCUCUGUGCCAUGCAGACCCACUACCCAGCUCGAAGAUUGAUCACAGCCAUGUGGAAUGAUGCACUAAGUGAUUUUUUGAGAUGCUCCAAAUGGGUCCCAGAGCUCCUCUUCCCGCUUCUGGGAGAAAUCGUCAAUAGACCUAAAGAGCAACGUUGGUUGAGAGAGAGAGAAAGAGAGAGAGAGACCUCUGUCAUUAAGCAAGUUGAGUGGGCCCUUUGCAAUGGUGAGAGGAAUGCCCCUGAAAAUGGUUAGCAACAGACGUUUCACUGGUAUUAUAGGCCUUUUCUAUUAGGGAAAGCAAAUGCUCAUUUAUAACGUUAUAAAAACGUUACAAC